CUGUCUUCACGAUGCGCUUCGAGCGUGUCGAUUUCGCCGUUCUUUAUGUUGGCGUUAACGACCUUGAAAGCAACAUGGAUCCACAAGAAAUGUGCGACAACAUCAAGGCCUUGAUUGUUCAACGAGACGGCCCCCGUCGUGCUGGUUUUCAAGGUGCUCCCUCGCUGCCUAGAAGAUGCUGAUGCGGAAUAGAAAAUGCAAAAACGUCGCUUGCUCAACCGCAAAUUGACGGCUACGCUGAAGCGCAUGCCGUGUCUGCGGAAUUUGAACCCCGAGCUUUCCAGAGUUCCUUGGAAAAUCCUCCCAUGCACCUGCCAUGUACAUUGCCCUCCUCCUCGAUGUGGCGUGCAAGAUGGCAGCAGCAGCUGUGGGAACAGUUGAAGAGGCGAAGAAAGGUCCACUUUAUAAUAGGUUGUAUGUAAAUAAAACUGAUCGACCUCAA